CCGGCGUCGCGUCAGGGCUGGCCGGCGGCGGAGGCGGCGGCGGCGGUGAUGGCAGCGGACCCUGAGCGAGCUUGAGGGCUCGGACCCAGCUCUCUCCUGCGAAACCUUGGGCCGAUCCGGCGCUGCGGCCCCAGCUCGCUCCGCUCCUGCUCCCUCCCCGGCCGCUGCCUGGGCGGAGGCAGAGGCAGAGGCCCGGGCUGGCCGCCCUGCUCGUGCCCCAGCUCGGCCCCGGACAGCCCGGCUGCUGUGCAGAGAGGAGGCCGAGUCGGUAGUGAAAAGAGAAUACUGAAGAAUAGGAUCUCAAGAUGAGUAAAAAGCCCCCAAAUCGCCCUGGAAUCACUUUUGAGAUUGGUGCUCGUUUGGAGGCACUGGACUACUUACAAAAAUGGUAUCCAUCACGAAUUGAAAAAAUUGACUAUGAGGAGGGCAAGAUGUUGGUCCAUUUUGAGCGCUGGAGUCAUCGUUAUGAUGAGUGGAUUUACUGGGAUAGCAAUAGAUUGCGACCCCUUGAGAGACCAGCACUAAGAAAAGAAGGGCUAAAAGAUGAGGAAGAUUUCUUUGAUUUUAAAGCUGGAGAAGAAGUUCUGGCUCGUUGGACAGACUGUCGCUAUUACCCUGCCAAGAUUGAAGCAAUUAACAAAGAAGGAACAUUUACAGUUCAGUUUUAUGAUGGAGUAAUUCGUUGUUUAAAAAGAAUGCACAUUAAAGCCAUGCCCGAGGAUGCUAAGGGGCAGGAUUGGAUAGCUUUAGUCAAAGCAGCUGCUGCAGCUGCAGCCAAGAACAAAACAGGGAGUAAACCUCGAACCAGCGCUAACAGCAAUAAAGAUAAGGAUAAAGAUGAGAGAAAGUGGUUUAAAGUACCUUCAAAGAAGGAAGAAACUUCAACUUGUAUAGCCACACCAGACGUAGAGAAGAAGGAAGAUCUGCCUACAUCUAGUGAAACAUUUGUAGGACUUCAUGUAGAGAACGUUCCAAAGAUGGUCUUUCCACAGCCAGAGAGCACAUUAUCAAACAAGAGGAAAAAUAAUCAAGGCAACUCAUUUCAGGCAAAGAGAGCUCGACUUAACAAGAUUACUGGUUUGUUGGCAUCCAAAGCUGUUGGGGUGGAUGGUGCUGAAAAAAAGGAAGACUACAAUGAAACAGCUCCAAUGCUGGAGCAGGCGAUUUCACCUAAACCUCAAAGUCAGAAAAAAAAUGAAGCUGACAUUAGCAGUUCUGCCAACACUCAGAAACCUGCACUGUUAUCCUCAACUUUGUCUUCAGGGAAGGCUCGCAGCAAGAAAUGCAAACAUGAAUCUGGAGAUUCUUCUGGGUGUAUAAAACCCCCUAAAUCACCACUUUCCCCAGAAUUAAUACAAGUCGAGGAUUUGACGCUUGUAUCUCAGCUUUCUUCUUCAGUGAUAAAUAAAACUAGUCCUCCACAGCCUGUGAAUCCCCCUAGACCUUUCAAGCAUAGUGAGCGGAGAAGAAGAUCUCAGCGUUUAGCCACCUUACCCAUGCCUGAUGAUUCUGUAGAAAAGGUUUCUUCUCCCUCUCCAGCCACUGAUGGGAAAGUAUUCUCCAUCAGUUCUCAAAAUCAGCAAGAAUCUUCAGUACCAGAGGUGCCUGAUGUUGCACAUUUGCCACUUGAGAAGCUGGGACCCUGUCUCCCUCUUGACUUAAGUCGUGGUUCAGAAGUUACAGCACCAGUAGCCUCAGAUUCCUCUUACCAUAAUGAAUGUCCCAGGGCAGAAAAAGAGGAUACACAGAUGCUUCCAAAUCCUUCUUCCAAAGCAAUAGCUGAUGGAAGAGGAGCUCCAGCAGCAGCAGGUAAAAGAAAAAAAAUAAAGGCUCUUAUAAGUAGAUAAGUAGCUAGGCUUGCAGUUAUUAGGUAUAAACAUUUUGAGGUUUAACUACAUUAUUUUGAUUCCUAUAUAAUUCCUUUUCAUAAAUACUUUAACAUUUAUAGGAGAGCUUCUUCUCUGUUUUAAAGGUCUUUUGUGUGAUCAUUUUACAAUCAUAUUCCCUGGACAUACAUGCUUCUUAACCUUGUCACUUGAUCUGUUUCCUUCUCCCUGCUUCUUUUUUAUAUAUCCUUAUUUCUACUAAAUAUAAAUUAUUAGAGCCAAGUAUAAUUACAGGAAUUCUUACUUUUGAAGCCAGGAAAUACUUAAUGGGAUCAGUACUUUGGUUUAAGGAUUUUGAUAGAAUUUAAUAUUUAAGAAACACUGAACUAUAUGCCUGUAUCUUAAGUAUAAUUCCAUAUUUUGGGGCAGAAUCCUCCAAAUUGAAUUAAAUUUGCUAUAAAGUUAUUUGAGGAGUGCAAGAUGUAAAAUCAGCCAUCCUUAAUAACACAUUUUUUGCAUGAUUUUGUGAUAUUUAUUGUAGUUCGAAAGCAUUUGGAUGUGUAUUUUACCAAGCUGAUAUUUUAAAUCUAACAGAAUAUCGAUUCAUGUUUCCUUUAUGUGGGUGCAUUGUUUUAUUUAGAAGUUUUUAAGAAUUAUAACCUGAUCCAGAAUACACAUAAUAAGAAAAGGCCAAUACUAGUUACAAAUGCACUUCUGGUAAAUUACUAUUGGAAUUAGAUGUUUGAAGGAAGUCUGAAUUUAGUUUGUUGUGAGUUGGAGAAAAACAUAAGGCAGUUUGUUGAUUUCGUUACCAAGGGUGUUGGUGAUCAUUGUGUUUACAGGCGUCUUCCCUGAAACCACUUUAUCCAUUUUUUGGAUGAAGCGUAAAAUGAAACUUAUUCUUUUAUGGUGAUGGCAUGUAUUGAAAUAAAAUGAUUGAAGUAACUUAAGAGACAUAUACUCAUUUUUAUUAAUUUUUAUCUUUAUAUAAAGGUUGAAGUUACUUUGUACAUGAUAAUUCUUUAUCAUGUUUAAAAAAAUAAAACAAUACCCAAAUCUGAAUAUUUGUAGAUUUUGAAACAUUUCCUGUAGUUUCUUAAAUCAAAUCUAUUGUCUUUUGACUCUUGGUCUUUCCUUAAGAUAAUUAAUUUUUCUUUUCCACUUUUCCACAAGAUUUCCAAAUUAUCAUUGACCCAUUGAGAUACUUUUUUGAUAAAGGGCUUAUUCAGUUUUUAACGAUCUGGAAUUUGUUACCGUACUGAAUAUAUGAAAAAUAUGUUAAAGUUAUAAGGUUGUAUAUCCAUUGGGAAAAUUAUUUUCAGAUGUACAUGUGAAAAUAUUUACAUUUUUCUUUAAAAGUAUUCUAAUACUAGUAACAAUAUUGAAAUAUAGGCCAAUAUAAGUAACUGU
rnacentral:sRNA from 1 species